rnacentral:rRNA from 1 species
GACGAACGCUGGCGGCGUGCUUAACACAUGCAAGUCGAACGGUGAAGGCGGAGCUUGCUCUGUCGGAUCAGUGGCGAACGGGUGAGUAACACGUGGGCAACCUGCCCCUCACUUCGGGAUAACUCCGGGAAACCGGGGCUAAUACCGGAUACGACCUCCUUGGGCAUCUUUGGAGGUGGAAAGUUUUUCGGUGAGGGAUGGGCCCGCGGCCUAUCAGCUUGUUGGUGAGGUAGUGGCUCACCAAGGCGACGACGGGUAGCCGGCCUGAGAGGGCGACCGGACACACUGGGACUGAGACACGGCCCAGACUCCUACGGGAGGCAGCAGUGGGGAAUAUUGCGCAAUGGGGGAAAGCCUGACGCAGCAACGCCGCGUGCGGGAUGAAGGCCUUCGGGUUGUAAACCGCUUUCAGCAGGGAAGAAGCCGCAAGGUGACGGUACCUGCAGAAGAAGCACCGGCUAACUACGUGCCAGCCGCCGCAGUAA